rnacentral:antisense_RNA from 1 species
AGAUAGGAGAGAGUUUCCUGUGGGCAAACUUUAGGUUGUAAAUUGACUCUUGUCUCUAGAGGCAAUCUUCUGGUGGUAGAGAUUUCCGGCUCUGGGGCUUCUAGAUGUCCUGGAAUACACUUGUGUCAGUGACAAAUGCUGCUUUGCUGUGCUACACCGAGUACAAGGUAGUGAGAAAUGCAUGGGCUAUCUUCAGCAUAGAACACAAACUCUGCCUUCUUUUCUCAAGUCCAGUGAUUCAAGUUUGACACACCACACCACAGUGGAUGUGCCUUGUCAUGACACAACUUCUCAGCAGCACUAGAAGAUACAUCCGAAGUCCUGUGAGCAAGGUAUGUGGUAUCUGUUUAUUAUGGCAGCCCAGUAAGACUAAGACAGGCCAUCACAAGACGUGAACGUUUUGGACCUUCUCUUGGGCCCUAGUAAACAGAAAUCAGGCUAUUUAUUAAACUAAUCCACGUUCUGAACUGCUAUUGCUACUGGAAACCAGUCCCGAUCCAGACCCCAAAAGAGGAUUCUUGGAUCUUGCACAAGAAAGAAAGUAGAGGGACCCUUAGUCAUUACCUUCAAGGAACCUAAAUCCUGGUGUCUUUAUGGUUAUGGGUGGCAUAUAAUAUACAGACACAGUGAAGGAGUGAGAUGUGAAGGUGCUCUGUCAUUGCCUCAGUCAAGGCUUUCAUGGUACACUGGAAGAAAGAGAAGUGUGAACAAAUUGCAUGAUACUUGAGGUCAUGCUGUGUACCUGUAUUGAACAAGAAUAAGGGAAGAAAGCUGGGAACCUGGAUCUCCCAUAUACUGGAAGUUUUGUAAAAACCUUGAGGGUCCCUUCCACUACAUAUGGGGAUUAUGGGAACUGCAAUUCAAGAUGAGAUUUGAGUGAGGACGUAGCCAAACCACAUGGUUUUAGAACAUUGACUGAGAGAGAAGACAACCCACUUUGCCAUAUAUGCCCAUGGUCUUACCAAGGCUAGAGUACAGUGGCACAGUCAUAGCUCACUGCAGCCUCAAACUCCCAGGCUCAGGCAAUCGAUCCGAUCCUCCCACCUCAUCCAGCCUCCCAAGUAGCUGAGACUACAGGAGUGGCUGGAUAUGUGUCCUGUUUGUGCUUGUCUGCAUAUAAGAGAAGUUGAGAAAGGGAUCAAGAAUGAGGUGACUGCGUGGACAUAAAGCAUAUCAUGAAAGAAAAAUUCUCCCACAUCCCUCCCAGCAGCAGCUCCAGAAUUUCUUCUUCUCCCCUGAAAACUAACAAGAGAGACUGCCACCAGAUUACUCUUAUCUCAGCACCCAGCUUUGCUUAUUGUUUAUCAGUCACUGAGAAUGUCUGAGGCUCUGAGCUAAUAACUUUUAGAUACAUCUUAUUUAGCCUUUAGAGAAAUGCUGUGAGAUAAGUACUGUGUUAUUGGCCCCAUUUUAAAAUUAAUGGGAUAGAAACCCUGCAGGGCAACUCACCAUGGGUCAGCAGCUGGGAUAGAGCUGAGCCCGGGUCUGAGCUGAACUCAGUUUGCCCACAGACCCUCCACACCACCACACUAUUAGGUCCCCUUUAUCUGGCCCACUAUUUCAUGGUCACGUGCAUCAUUUCUGUGCUUUGCCACAUUAUUUUAGUUUCUUUAACUCACAGUAUUAUUUCUGUGAGAUAUUUCAGAGGCAAGAAUUCCUCUGUAGUAGGAGUUGUGUCUACUUAGUAGGCUGUGUCUACUUAGCUCGCAUUUCUCAGUUUCUCUGCGGUGACAGGUCCCCUAAAAUAGGGUUGCAUCACAAAAAUGAUUUCGGAGCCACAAUUUAAAAAUAAAAAUGAAA